rnacentral:rRNA from 1 species
GAUGAACGCUGGCGGCGUGCCUAAUACAUGCAAGUCGAGCGAACAGACGAGGAGCUUUCUCCUCUGACGUUAGCGGCGGACGGGUGAGUAACACGUGGAUAACCUACCUAUAAGACUGGGAUAACUUCGGGAAACCGGAGCUAAUACCGGAGAAUAUAUUGAACCGCAUGGUUCAAUAGUGAAAGACGGUUUGGCUGUCACUUAUAGAUGGAUUCGCGCCGCAUUAGCUAGUUGGUAAGGUAACGGCUUACCAAGGCAACGAUGCGUAUCCGACCUGAGAGGGGGAUCGGCCACACUGGAACUGAGACACGGUCCAGCCUCCUACGGGAGGCAGCAGUAGGGAAUCUUCCGCAAUGGGCGAAAGCUUGACGGAGCAACGCCGCGUGAGUGAUGAGGGUCUUCGGAUCGUAAAACUCUGUUAUUAGGGAAGAACAAAUGUGUAAGUAACCAUGCACGUCUUGACGGUACCAAAGAAGAAAGCCACGGCUAACUACUU